rnacentral:rRNA from 1 species
GGGUGCGUAAGGCGUGGGGAACCUACCCUGAAAGCUGGGAUACCCUGCCGAAAGACAGGUUAAUACCAGAUGUCCCCAGGCAGCCGCAUGGUUGGCUGGGGAAAGAUGGCCUCGACCGAAAGGUUGCUAUCGUUUCAGGAGGGUCCCGCGUCCCAUCAGCUUGUUGGUAGGGUAACGGCCUACCAAGGCGUUUGACGGGUAGCUGGCCUGAGAGGGUGGUCAGCCACACUGGGACUGAGACACUGCCCAGACUCCUACGGGAGGCUGCAGUCGAGAAUCUUUGGCAAUGGGCGAAAGCCUGACCGUGCGACGCCGCGUGCGGGAUGAAGGCCUUCGGGUCGUAAACCGCUGUCACGAGGAACGAAGGUCUUGACACCAAACAGGGGUCAAGACUUGACGGUACCUCGAGAGGAAGCCACGGCCAACUCCGUGCCAGCAGCCGCGGUAAGACGGAGGUGGCAAGCGUUGCUCGGAUUCACUGGGUGUAAAGGGCAAGUAGGCGGCUUCGUAAGCCCCACCUGAAAGGCUCUGGCUUAACCAGAGCAGGGGGUGGGGAACUGCGAGGCUUGAGGACGGAAGAGGCGAAUGGAAUUCCCGGUGUAAGGGUGAAAUCUGUAGAGAUCGGGAGGAACACCAGUGGCGAAGGCGAUUCGCUGGUCCGUCCCUGACGCUGAGAGGCGAAAGCUAGGGGAGCAAACAGGAUUAGAUACCCUGGUAGUCCUAGCCGUAAACGAUGGGCACUAGGUGUUGGCUCACAACGGUGGGUCAGUGCCGCAGGUAACCCGUUAAGUGCCCCACCUGAGGAGUACGGCCGCAAGGUUGAAACUCAAAGGAAUUGACGGGGGCCAGCACAAGCGGUGGAACAUGUGGUUCAAUUCGAUGCUACGCGAAGAACCUUACCCAGGCUUGACAUGCAGGAAGUAGGAACCUGAAAGGGGGACGACUCGUAACCAGUCGAGAGCCUGCACAGGUGCUGCAUGGCUGUCGUCAGCUCGUGCCGUGAGAUGUCGGGUUAAGUUCCUUAACGAGCGAAACCCCUGUCCUUAGUUGCCAGCGCGUUAUGGCGGGGACUCUAAGGAGACCGCCGGUGUUAAACCGGAGGAAGGCGGGGAUGACGUCAAGUCCUCAUGGCGCUUAUGCCUAGGGCUGCACACGUGCUACAAUCGGGCGGACAAAGGGAAGCAAGACCGCGAGGUGGAGCAAAUCCCAAAAACCGUCCGUCAGUUCAGAUUGCAGGCUGCAAUUCGCCUGCAUGAAGCUGGAAUCGCUAGUAAUCGCAGAUCAGCUACGCUGCGGUGAAU